rnacentral:rRNA from 1 species
AUUGAACGCUGGCGGCAGGCCUAACACAUGCAAGGCGAACGAGUGGCGGAAGGGUGAGUAAUGUCUGGGAAACUGUCUGAUUGAGGGGGAUAACUACUGGCCCCGGUAGCUAAUACCGCAUACCAUCAGAUGACCGCACAUGGGAGUAGCUUGUAGGUGGGGUAACGGCUCACCAAGGCGAAGAUCCCUAGAGGGUCUGAGAGGAUGACCAGCCACACUCGAACUGAGACACGGGCCAGACUCCUACGGGAGGCAGCAGUGGGGAAGAUGUCACAAUGGGCGCAAGCCUGAUACAUGCAUGCCGCGUGUAUGAAGAAGGCCUUCGUGUGGUAAAGUACUUUCAGCGGGUAGGCGUUACCCGCAGAAGAAGCACCGGCUAACUCCGUGCCAGCAGCCGCGGUAAUAC